CCUACGGGAUGCUGCAGUGGGGAAUAUUGCGCAAUGGGCGAAAGCCUGAAGCAGCGACGCCGCGUGAGGGAUGAAGGUCUUCGGAUCGGAAAACUCUGUCAGUAGGGAAGAAAGGUCACUGUGCUAAUCAGCAGGGAAUUGGCGGUACCUGUCGAAUAAGACACGGCUUACUAAGUGCGAGCAGCCGAGGUAAUACGUAGGUGGCAAGCCUUGUCCGGAUUUACUGGUGGUAAAGGGCGUGUAGCCGGGUUGACAAGUCAGAUGUGAAAACCUGCGGCUUAACCGCAGAACUGCAUUUGAAACUGUUGAUCUUGAGUACUGGUGAGGCAGACGGAAUUCCUAGUGUAGCGGUGAAAUGCGUCGAUAUUAGGAGGAACACCAGUGGCGAAGGCGGUCUGCUGGACAGCAACUGACGGUGAGGCGCGAAAGCGUGGGGAGCAAACAGGAUUAGAUACCCCAGUAGUC
rnacentral:rRNA from 1 species